AUUCAAAAUAUUCCCCCCAAAUUAAAGAUAAGUGCCAAGUCAAAUAUUGCCCAUGUUGCUGUUAUGCCGGAUAUGCUUUCUUCAAAAGAAACAGCGUCUAGUGUUGCAAAGAUGCUGGCUGAAAAGUGCAAUAAUCUUUCAGAACUUAGAGAUGCAAUGGGCUUGUUUGAGAUGUGUUCAUUGAAAAAAGGUGCAAAAAAAUUAGUUUUUUCUGAUGGCUUGAGCAAAUCAAGGGUAAUGGUGAUCGGGGAGUCGCCUUCACGUGAAGAAGACAUAGAAGGAAAGCCAUUUGUGGGAACUGAGGGUGAAUUAGUGGAUAAGAUGUUCCAAGCUAUUGGCUUGUCUAGAGACUCUAAUGAGCCUAACGAAGCAAUUUAUAUUACAACAGCAAUUCCUUGGAGGCCUCCACAAAGUCGUGACCCUAAUUCGGAUGAGAUAGCAAUGAUGUUGCCUUUCCUGAAGCGCCAUAUUGAAUUGGUAAACCCUGAUUUCAUUGUUUUAAUGGGUAAUAUUGCUUGCUCGGCAGUUUUGAAUAAAGUUGGUAUAAACAAAUUCCGAGGCGAAUGGACUGAGGCGUUUGGAAAACAAAUUCUUCCAAUGUUGCAUCCUAGAUCAUUGCUGAAAGAUCCUAUGAGAAAACGAGAUACUUGGAAUGAUCUUUUGAGUUUAAAAGAGCGAUUGAAAUUAUGACUGAUAGAAAAUUUAUUCCUGUAAAUAUUGCUAUUCUUACGAUCUCAGAUAGUCGAACUUUUGAAAAUGAUCGAUCGGGCGAUGUUCUUGCUAAUUGUAUAGAAAGUGCAGGACACAUAUUGAAAAAUAGAGAAAUUGUAAAAGAUGAUAGACCUUUAAUUUCUGCAAAGUUAAUGGAAUGGUGCAAAAGAAUUGAUAUAGAUACCAUUAUUACUACAGGUGGAACUGGUCUUACUGGUCGUGACGUUUCGGUUGAGGCUCAUCGAGAUGUAUAUGAAAAAGAAAUAGAUGCAUUUGCUACUAUGUUUACUAUAAUCUCAAUGAAAAAAAUUAGAACAUCUGCAGUACAAUCAAGAGCAUGUGCAGGGGUUGCUCAUGGGACAUAUUUAUUUGCAUUACCAGGUAGCCCUGGAGCUUGUAUGGAUGGUUGGGAAGAAAUUUUAAAAUAUCAAUUAGAUUAUACGCACAAACCGUGUAAUUUUGUUGAAAUCAUGCCACGCCUUGAAGAAAAUAAGAAGAGAAAAUGAUUAAAGGAUUAAAAUUUCAUUUUUUUUCACAUAUUACAAAAAUGAUAUAUGAGUUAUUUGAUAUUUGUUGUUGAUAAACUACAUGUAAGUAUCAAUUUAUCACUAAGCUUCGCUAAAAGGGAAAAAUAUUAUGCGUUUCUUCAACAGAAGUAUAUUUGGUCUUUUUUUAACUGUGCUUACUAUCGGAGUUUUAUUGGCUGCGGUUUAUGUUUUUAAAAAUGCUCAAGAUGAUCGUGAAGAUCGAAAAAGGCCUAGAACUGAUAGAGAACGCAGUUUUUCGGUUUAUGUACUGCCAAUUAAAAUUGAAGCAAUAAAACCUGAAGUUACAGUCUUUGGGGAAGUAUUAUCUGGACGCACUUUAGAAUUAAGAACAUCUGCGGGUGGUAAGCUAGUUCAAAUGUCUGAAAAUUUCAGAAAAGGUGGCGCUGUAACUAAAGGGGAAUUAUUAUUUACAACAGAUCCUUCAAGCGCAAAUGCUAAUGUCCAAUUAGCAGAAACAACUCUCAUGGAAGCAAAAGCUGAGCUU
rnacentral:rRNA from 1 species